rnacentral:rRNA from 1 species
UGGGGAAUAUUGGACAAUGGGCGCAAGCCUGAUCCAGCCAUGCCGCGUGAGUGAUGAAGGCCUUAGGGUUGUAAAGCUCUUUCGACGGGGACGAUAAUGACGGUACCCGUAGAAGAAGCCCCGGCUAACUUCGUGCCAGCAGCCGCGGUAAUACGAAGGGGGCUAGCGUUGCUCGGAAUCACUGGGCGUAAAGGGCGCGUAGGCGGACGUUUAAGUCAGAGGUGAAAGCCCAGGGCUCAACCCUGGAAUGGCCUUUGAUACUGGACGUCUUGAGUCUGGUAGAGGUUGGUGGAACUGCGAGUGUAGAGGUGAAAUUCGUAGAUAUUCGCAAGAACACCGGUGGCGAAGGCGGCCAACUGGACCAGAACUGACGCUGAGGCGCGAAAGCGUGGGGAGCAAAACAGGAUUAGAUACCCUGGUAGUCCACGCCGUAAAACGAUGGAUGCUAGCCGUUGGCGGGUUUACCCGUCAGUGGCGCAGCUAACGCGUUAAGCAUCCCGCCUGGGGAGUACGGCCGCAAGGUUAAAACUCAAAUGAAUUGACGGGGUCAUAGCUGUUUCCU